AGCUUGGGUAAGGCACUCAGCAUGACCCAGUCUUUUCAUGGGGAAAUCUCCACCAGCAUUCACUCUGGCGUCCUUCCUGGCUUCCCUGUGGGUCACAAAUCCAUGGGGUAACUUUGGGGCCUCCCUUUAUUAACUCAGGGCACCUCUCAAACAUCUGCUAGAUUUGGAGAAAGAACAGAGGCCGCUGUCUGCCUGUCAACCCUGGACGAUGGAAGCCUUCAACCAAGGACCAUUAUAAGGGCUAUCCCGCCUCUGGCAGUGGUUCACCAACAGAGGGCGCCCUCCUGCACGCCCAGACCUGCUCUGGGAGGAGGGAGGGAAGACAGCCCCCAGGAUCCUGAGGACCCCAGGAUCUAGUGAAGGUGCUUUGCCAGUGGGGAAGAAGGAAGACAAGGAGGAUGACGAGGAAAAGGAGGAGGAGGAGAAAGAGGGAGGAGAGGACCAGGAAAGCACAUACCUCAAAUUUCUUCUUGGUUAUCAAGUUAAGUUGAUUUAUUUUAAGUUUCUUCCAGCAAGGUCUUUUUAGAAAUAAUGCAGUAUUGACU
rnacentral:lncRNA from 1 species